UACGGGGGGUGCGAGCGUUAAUCGGAAUGACUGGGCGUAAAGCGUGCGUAGGCGGUGUAAUCAGUCAGCCGUGAAAGCCCCGGGCUUAACCUGGGAAUGGCGGUUGAGACGGUUAGACUAGAGUGGGCUAGAGGACUGUGGAACUCCCGGUGUAGCGGUGAAAUGCGUAGAGAUCGGGAAGAACACCGAUGGCGAAGGCAGCAGUCUGGGGCCACACUGACGCUGAGGCACGACGGCGUGGGGAGCAAACAGG
rnacentral:rRNA from 1 species